GACUCGGAGACUGCUGCAGUGCACUGGAAAAAUCGUGUUUAAUCUCCGUUUUAGAAAAUGAAAGAUUUGGGGGUGACAAACCUGCUUCAGGAGUGGGACUUCCCACAUUUAGUUCCAAUCUUUAGAGUUAAAUGUUGCAGAAGAUGAGCACGAAGAAGACACCUACUGGAUGCAAUAUUACUCAUCACCUGACAACAUUGUUGUUAAUGUGACGAACCUCGGUACCGAGAUAUGAGUUGACUAGAGGAAACCCGCGACCAAGCACAGCAGAAAUUCUUGACAAAUAUCUACAGCUUUUGGGAAUGAUUGAUCAAGACUUUGAUUUAACAAUUGAUGCAGCUCCUGGUGCCCUUUUCACAAUGUGGCCAAAGUUGUCCAGGCAGACUUUGGAAUUUGCGGAGAAGAUUAAUCCAGGGUAUAGAAAGAUCCUAGGGGCUGGAGUGGACCAGAAAAUGACGCAGAGUCAACAAUGAAGAAAAUUUGGCUUUCAGUACUUCCAUG